rnacentral:tRNA from 1 species
GCCUCGAUAGCUCAGCUCGGUAGAGCGUUCGCCUUGUAAGCGAAAGGUCGGGAGUUCAACUCUCCCUCGGGGCUCCA